GUGUACAAUAAUUGUGUUGUGCUCUGUGCUCCCUACCCACUCUUGGCAGGCGUGACGUCACAUUUUAAGGCAGUUGGUUGAGCUGGAAGCAGAGGAGGAGACGAGCAACCCAGCGAGUUGAAUGAAGGGCCUGCGAAAAAAAAAGAAGAGAAAAAGACGUCGUUAAAAGAUAACCAAGCAUAUUGGUUUUUAAACGUCAACUUUUAGACCUCGAAAGUGAAUAUAGAAGACUACUUUUGCAAAUUCCCGACCGGAUAAUCCGAUUCAACUGGAGAAACAACCAAGCUCUUUCCCAACAGAAGCAUGUUACAGUGCUAUUUUUUUACCAGCUAGCAGGGAGCGAUACGGCACAAUCCGUGGACAGGCUGAACAGGAGUCGGGACCACAUUUGAACUGGGAAGUGGUUCUGAAAGGUUGGUCAUGUUACACAUAUAUAUAUAUAUAUAUAUAUAUAUAUUAUUUUUUAUUUAUUUAUUGGAAAGGAUUGGUUUAUGUAAGAGAGCUUUCUGUUGUUGACAGGUCAAUAUGUCUUUUCCAACUGGUUUCUAAGAAAGGCAGGAUCUUCAAUUCAGAAGGGCAGGAUCUUGCUCCCUCGCUCUUUCUGGUCAGGCCUUGAGUUGUUUUGUCCGCUUUGCUGUUCCGUCUCCAUGUUCUUCUUUUCAUAAAAUAAAGAUGGGUUUUCUUUGAAUGAGGCUACAUUCUCUGCUCUUUGUGUCUGCUCCCUGCAAACCCUUUCCCCCACCAGACAGUGAGUGCACAGAAACAUUGUUUCUGAAUAUCAGGCCCAGACUCUCUCCUCACUACUGAAUGAGACCCUUGGGGUGAACCAGACUGUUGCAGUGUUCUGUCUCUCUCUCUCUCUCUCUCUCUCUCUCAUCCACUGGGGAAAUAAGACAUGUUAUACAUCCAAUAAGACUAAAAGUAUGUGCUCUAGCAGCAGACGUGAACGUUGUCACACUGCCUAAAGGUCCUUCUAAAGCUCUCGGUAUGCAGACCACGAUCUGGAGCCAGAGACUUCACUGGAAAUCCAAUUUGAGGAAAGCGGCGUCUGAAGGGGCAGUUUAGGGCAUUUAGGAUGACGAGGCCAAGUGGAGGGUGUAGCUGAGACCGAGGGGGAUAGUCAGACAUUUUUACAUGCACCUGCCUUUGUAAACGGUACCGUAG
rnacentral:lncRNA from 1 species